UGACAGUACUCCUACGGGAGGCAUCAGUGGGGAAUAUUGCACAAUGGGCGCAAGCCUGAUGCAGCAACGCCGUGUGAGUGAAGAAGGUUUUCGGAUCGUAAAACUCUGUCCUAAGGGAAGAAACAAAUGACGGUACCUUAGGAGGAAGCCCCGGCUAACUACGUGCCAGCAGCCGCGGUAAUACGUAGGGGGCAAGCGUUAUCCGGAAUCACUGGGCGUAAAGGGUGCGUAGGCGGCUUAGCAAGCCAGGGGUGAAAGGCAUUGGCUCAACCAAUGUAAGCCUUUGGAACUGUUAAGCUUGAGUGCAGGAGAGGUAAGUGGAAUUCCUAGUGUAGAGGUGAAAUUCGUAGAUAUUAGGAGGAACACCAGUGGCGAAGGCGACUUACUGGACUGUAACUGACGCUGAUGCACGAAAGCGUGGGUAGCGAACAGGAUUAGAUACCCUGGUAG
rnacentral:rRNA from 1 species